AGCGAACGCUGGCGGCAGGCCUAACACAUGCAAGUCGAACGGAUCCUUCGGGAUUAGUGGCGGACGGGUGAGUAACACGUGGGAACGUGCCCUUUGGUUCGGAACAACUCAGGGAAACUUGAGCUAAUACCGGAUGUGCCCUUCGGGGGAAAGAUUUAUCGCCAUUGGAGCGGCCCGCGUCUGAUUAGCUAGUUGGUGGGGUAAAGGCCCACCAAGGCGACGAUCAGUAGCCGGGCUGAGAGGAUGAUCAGCCACAUUGGGACUGAGACACGGCCCAAACUCCUACGGGAGGCAGCAGUGGGGAAUCUUGCGCAAUGGGCGAAAGCCUGACGCAGCCAUGCCGCGUGAAUGAUGAAGGUCUUAGGAUUGUAAAAUUCUUUCACCGGGGACGAUAAUGACGGUACCCGGAGAAGAAGCCCCGGCUAACUUCGUGCCAGCCGCCGCAGUAA
rnacentral:rRNA from 1 species